GAGAGAGAGAGAGAGAGAGAUUGUCAGUAUCUUCGUUAAAUUAAUCACGUGAUAUAGUAUUGUUUGUCAUCAUUAACCUGUUCACUCAUUUAUUAGUUUAUGUCGAAAUUAGUUCCCCUGUGUGUCUGUUUGUCACUGUUUCUGUCUGUCUCUGUUUGGCUAUGUUUGUAUGAUGUUUGUGUUUGUCACUUUAUCACACACACUCACACUCACACACACACACACACACACACACACACACACACACACACCAAUAUAAUUAGUGUGAGCGAGGAUUAACGCCACCGAUAAGAAAGCUUUGGCACCCCCGUGAGCCUUGGCCCCAAAAGAUUACAUUACGUACCGCCGAAUGAAGUGUUACCUGCGACUACCUUUGAUGGAGAGAGAGAGAGAGAGAGAGAGAGAGAGAGAGAGAGAGAGAGAGAGAGAGAGAGAGAGAGAGGAGGAGGAAUAGAGGUACAAACAGCCAGAAAUUGAAAGACACAGAGAAAGUUUAAAAGAGAAAGAAACAGGCAGACGGGCACGAGGAAUGUAAGCGAAGAGAAAAAGGAAAACCGGAACCGGACUGGAAGAACAAGAGAGAGAGAGAGAGAGAGAGAGAGAGAGAGAGAGAGAGAGAGAGAGAGAGAGAGAGAGAGAGAGAGAGAGAGAGAGAGAAAAAGAUACAAACAGACAGAAAUCGAAAGACACAGAAAAAGAGAGAGAAUGAUAGGGAAGGACAGACGAACUCAAUGAAAACUCUGAAUAAACUCUAUUGGAGGAUGGGAAAGAGAAAGAAAGGAAAAUAGAGGUAGAAGAAGAGGAGGAGGAGUGUCGGAAGAUAACAAACUCGUGAUAAAAAUUCCCAGAUUCUUAAUAAGCCAAAGAUAAAGUUAAGUCAACAUCGAACUCAAGAAUAAAGUAAAUAUAAAGUGAAGCCAACAUCGAACUCAAGAAUAAAGUAAAUAUAAAGUGAAGCCAACAUCAAACUCAAGAAUGAACAAAAUAUAAAGUGAAGCCAACAUCGAACUCAAGAAUGAGCAAAAUAUAAAGUGAAGCCAACAUCGAACUCAAGAAUGAACAAAAUAUAAAGUGAAGCCAACAUCGAACUCAAGAAUGAACAAAAUAUAUAGUGAAGCCAACAUCGAACUCAAGAAUGAACAAAAUAUAAAGUGAAGCCAACAUCGAACUCAAGAAUGAACAAAAUAUAUAGUGAAGCCAACAUCGAACUCAAGAAUGAGCAAAAUAUAAAGUGAAGCCAACAUCGAACUCAAGAAUGAACAAAAUAUAAAGUGAAGCCAACAUCGAACUCAAGAAUGAACAAAAUAUAAAGUGAAGCCAACAUCGAACUCAAGAAUGAACAAAAUAUAUAGUGAAGCCAACAUCGAACUCAAGAAUGAACAAAAUAUAUAGUGAAGCCAACAUCGAACUCAAGAAUAAAGUAAAGAUAAAGUGAAGCCAACAUCGAACUCAAGAAUGAACAAAAUAUAAAGUGAAGCCAACAUCGAACUCAAGAAUGAACAAAAUAUAUAGUGAAGCCAACAUCGAACUCAAGAAUGAACAAAAUAUAAAGUGAAGCCAACAUCGAACUCAAGAAUGAACAAAAUAUAUAGUGAAGCCAACAUCGAACUCAAGAAUGAACAAAAUAUAUAGUGAAGCCAACAUCGAACUCAAGAAUAAAGUAAAGAUAAAGUGAAGCCGACAUCGAAGUCAAGAAUAAAGUAAAGAUAAAGUGAAGCCAACAUCGAACUCAAGAAUGAACAAAAUAUAUAGUGAAGCCAACAUCGAACUCAAGAAUAAAGUAAAGAUAAAGUGAAGCCAACAUCGAACUCAAGAAUAAAGUAAAGAUAAAGUGAAGCCAACAUCGAAGUCAAGAAUAAAGUAAAGAUAAAAUGAAGCCAACAUCGAAGUCAAGAAUACACUAAAGAUAAAGUGAAGCCAACAUCGAAGUCAAGAAUAAAGUAAAGAUAAAAUGAAGCCAACAUCGAACUCAAGAAUAAAGUAAAGAUAAAAUGAAGCCAACAUCGAAGUCAAGAAUACACUAAAGGUAAAGUGAAGUCAACAUCGAAGUCAAUAAUAAACUAAAUAUAAAGUGAAGCCAACAUCGAAGUCAAUAAUAAACUAAAGAUAAAGUGAAGCCAACAUCGAAGUCAAGAAUAAAGUAAAGAUAAAGUGAAGCCAACAUCGAAGUCAAUAAUAAAGUAAAGAUAAAGUGAAGCCAACAUCGAAGUCAAGAAUAAAGUAAAGAUAAAGUGAAGCCAACAUCGAAGUCAAUAAUAAAGUAAAGAUAAAGUGAAGCCAACAUCGAAGUCAAGAAUAAAGUAAAGAUAAAGUGAAGCCAACAUCGAAGUCAAGAAUAAAGUAAAGAUAAAGUGAAGCCAACAUCGAAGUCAAGAAUAAAGUAAAGAUAAAGUGAAGCCAACAUCGAGGUCAAGAAUAAAGUAAAGAUAAAGGUCAAGAAUAAAGUAAAGAUAAAGUGAAGCCAACAUCGAAGUCAAGAAUAAAGUAAAGAUAAAGUGAAGCCAACAUCGAAGUCAAGAAUAAAGUAAAGAUAAAGUGAAGCCAACAUCGAAGUCAAGAAUAAAGUAAAGAUAAAGUGAAGCCAACAUCGAAGUCAAGAAUAAAGUAAAGAUAAAGUGAAGCCAACAUCGAGGUCAAGAAUAAAGUAAAGAUAAAGUGAAGUCAACAUAGAAGUCAAGAAUAAAGUAAAGAUAAAGUGAAGUCAACAUCGAAGUCAAGAAUACACUAAAGAUAAAGUGAAGUCAACAUCGAAGUCAAGAAUACACUAAAGAUAAAGUGAAGCCAACAUCGAAGUCAUGAAUAAACUAAAUAUAAAGUGAAGUCAACAUCGAAGUCAAGAAUAAAGUAAAGAUAAAGUGAAGUCAACAUCGAAGUCAAGAAUAAAGUAAAGAUAAAGUGAAGUCAACAUCGAAGUCAAGAAUAAAGUAAAGAUAAAGUGAAGCCAACAUCGAAGUCAAUAAUAAACUAAAUACAAAGAAAAGGCCACA